UACGUAGGGUGCAAGCGUUAAUCGGAAUUACUGGGCGUAAAGCGUGCGCAGGCGGUUUUGUAAGACUGUCGUGAAAUCCCCGGGCUCAACCCUGGGAAUGGCGAUGGUGACUGCAAGGCUAGAGUUUGGCAGAGGGGGUAGAAUUCCACGUGUAGCAGUGAAAUGCGUAGAUAUGUGGAGGAACACCGAUGGCGAAGGCAGCCCCCUGGGUCAAAACUGACGCUCAUGCACGAAAGCGUGGGGAGCAAACAGG
rnacentral:rRNA from 1 species